rfam:Synechococcus sp. PCC 7002, complete genome.
GGAGAGGUGGCAGAGCGGUUGAAUGCGCCUGACUUGAAAUCAGGUUUCGGGGCAACUCGGACGGGGGUUCGAAUCCCCCCCUCUCCG